UUGUCACAGUUCUGUCUGCUUUGUUAUUUUAACGUUCUUGAUCCUUGUUUGGGGCGUUUAGUUUAAUAUCUCUCCCUGUGUUGUUGUUUAUUUGAUUUUGGUCUGUCUACUGUGUUCAUUGUCCUUGAUCCUGUUUUCUGUCUGUUCCCUGUCUUGUUUGUGAUUUGUAUCCUCUGUCCAUCAGCCUGCCUGCCCUUGUUCUGCCCGUGAUUGCGCUGAUUUGUAUCACCUGUUUGUGCUCCCACCCUGCUUGUUUGUCUGUGUAUAUCUGUGUUGUCAUUUUUGUUUCUUUACUUGCAUUUGUUCAACAUUUGGAUUAUCUUGGGCUUUGGGGAGUCCUUAAUUGUCAUUUGGCCUGCUUUUCCUUUUGAACUGCCACUACCAGACAUACUGACUGCUGAUGGUCCAGACAGAAGAGUUUGAGCUUUGAGUGUAGAGAGCCUCAGACUCGAGUGAAGAAAGAAGGCCGGUUCUAAUUCACCAAACUGUGCUUGACCCUUUGAUGAUCUUCUCUUACAAAUUGUAAACUCCGGUAUUUGUUACACUUUCCACCAUCUUUACAGAAGCUGUUGCUACCUAACAGAACAAUAGGGUCUAUGUCAUGGCAUAAAGUAAAUUGGUUAAGCCCCCCUGUUUACAUUCAAUAAUGGUUACUUCACCUUGAAUAGUGUUUUUAAAAAAAAAAAAAAAAAAAAAACUCACAUACAGUGUUUGGAGUUGUAGCAGGUUGAGGUUGCAAAGCUCA